rnacentral:siRNA from 1 species
CAUGGAUAGGGUCUCACUCU